rnacentral:rRNA from 1 species
GACGAACGCUGGCGGCGUGCUUAACACAUGCAAGUCGAACGGUAAGGCCCUUUCUGGGGUACACGAGUGGCGCACGGGUGAGUAACACGUGGGUGAUCUGCCCUGCACUUUGGGAUAAGCCUGGGAAACUGGGUCUAAUACCUGAUAGGACUACGCGAUGCAUGUCGUGUGGUGGAAAGCUUUUGCGGUGUGGGAUGGGCCCGCGGCCUAUCAGCUUGUUGGUGGGGUGAUGGCCUACCAAGGCGACGACGGGUAGCCGGCCUGAGAGGGUGUCCGGCCACACUGGGACUGAGAUACGGCCCAGACUCCUACGGGAGGCAGCAGUGGGGAAUAUUGCACAAUGGGCGCAAGCCUGAUGCAGCGACGCCGCGUGGGGGAUGACGGCCUUCGGGUUGUAAACCCCUUUCAGCACAGACGAAGCGUAAGUGACGGUAUGUGCAGAAGAAGCACCGGCCAACUACGUG